rnacentral:tRNA from 1 species
GGCCCCAUCGUCUAGCGGCCUAGGACAUCGCCCUCUCACGGCGAAAACCGGGGUUCGAAUCCCCGUGGGGUCACCG